GGAAAUGGAUGUAGCUCAAUGGUAGAGUGUCUGCCUUGCAUGCAGAAGAUCCUAGGUUCAAUCCCAUCAUGUUCCA